UAUCAUGAUUCUGAGGGACGGCUUGUCACUGCAGAGUUUGAUUCAUUCUAUCUCUUGAGCGGUUACUUUCCUAAUUCUGGCGAUGGCCUGAGAAGACUGAUGUAUAGGAUUUCACAGUGGGAUCCAUCUCUUGGUAACUACAUAAAGAACUUGAAAAGUUGAAGCCUGUGAUUUUGACUGGCGAUCUGAAUUGUGCCCAUCAGGAAAUAGACAUUUAUGAUCCUGCGGGAAAUAAAAGAAGUGCUGGAUUUACAAUUGAAGAAAGGGAAUCUUUUGAGACCAACUUCCUGUCGAGGGGCUUUGUUGAUACCUUUAGAAGACAGUAUCCUCAUGCUGUUGGUUAUACUUAUUGGGGUUAUCAGCAUGGUGGGAGGAAGACAAAUAAAGGGUGGCAGCUCGAUUAUUUUCUCAUUUCAGAAUCUAUAGCAAAUAAAGUUCAUGACUCGUACAUCCUUCCUGAUAUCACCGAUAGUGAUCAUAGUCCUAUUGGCCUGAUUCUCCAGCUUUAGUUCUGUCAUCUCUUUUGGGAUCUUGGUGAAUGGACUGCGAAGGUAGUCCGGCAGCAUCAUCCUAGAUGCUGUUUGCUGAAAAGUAUUGAGCUUUUAUUGUCAUUGUCAUUCAUGUUGAAGCCACUAGCAAGGGAAAGUUUUUUUGAUGAAAUUUGCUUAGCAAAAG